GAUGAACGCUGGCGGCGUGCCUAACACAUGCAAGUCGAACGGACAGGCCAGGCGUUUGCUCCGUGCUCGUGUGGCGAACGGGUGAGUAACACGUGAGUAUCCCGCCCCUGACUUUCUGGUAACUUCUGGAAAAUCGGGCUAAUAUCGGAUAUGAUCUCCUGAUUCAUAGUGGUGGUUGGUGAGAUUCGGCUGUUUGGGAUGGUCUCGCUGCUUACGAGCUACAUUGUCUGGUUGUGGAUUACCAGGGUUUGGAAGGGUAGGCGGCAUGAGAGGUUGACCGGCCACCUGAGGACUAAGAGACGGCCCAGACUCCUACGGGCGGCAGCAGUGGGGAAUAUUACACAAUAGGCGGAAGCCUGAGGCAGCAACGCCGCGUGCGGAAUGACGUCCUUCGGGUUGUAAACCGCUUUCGCCUGUGACGAAGCGUGAGUGACGGUAAUUGGUAAAAAAGCCCCGGCUAACUACGUG
rnacentral:rRNA from 1 species